GGGGUGAUUAGCUCAGCUGGGAGAGCACCUCCCUUACAAGGAGGGGGUCGGCGGUUCGAUCCCGUCAUCACCCACC
rnacentral:tRNA from 2 species